UACAUGUGGGGCAAGCGUUGUUCGGAAUCACUGGGCUUACAGAGUUCGUAGGCGGUUCUACAAGUGGGGUGUGAAAGCCCUCGGCUCAACCGAGGAACUGCGCUCCAAACUGUAGAACUAGAGGAAGAUAGAGGUGAGCGGAACUGAUGGUGGAGCGGUGAAAUGCGUUGAUAUCAUCAGGAACACCGGAGGCGAAGGCGGCUCACUGGGUCUUUUCUGACGCUGAGGAACGAAAGCUAGGGGAGCCAACGGG
rnacentral:rRNA from 1 species